UUCACUCACUCGCUCACUCACUCCAUCCUUUUUUAGGCCAAUCCUCAUUUAACUUUUCAAAAGAGAAAAAGAAAAACUACAUUUAUACGGCAUUUCAUUCAACGUUGGAAAGAAUGAUUUCAUUGAAGAAUCCAAUACACAAUAUUUUAGGUCUUUUCAUUUGAAAUUGGUAUUUGAUGUGUGUUUUAUUCAUCAAUUGAAAUCAUUCUUUUCCGCGUUGAAUGAGAUAAUGGAGAAAAUUUAUUUUUCUCCAUUUUUCGCUAGAAUUAUAGUUGGCCUUGAUUGGAUAGGAUGCAAUGUGUGUGUGCGAGUGCGUGCACGCGAGUAUGUGAUAUAACUAUAAUCUUUAGACGUUAAAAUCUAUAUAAUAUAAAGGAGAUGAAGGAGAAAAUGUGGCGAAAAGGAAAAGAGCCGUCACCUUUAGCAAUUACUCAACAUGUAAGAAGGCAGCUCUUAAAGUAAUACAAACCCAUACACCCGAGGAAGCUUCGAGAAUAUUCUUGGGGAAAAUGGAGGUUUCUUCUUCUACAAUAACAAAGAAGCAAGUAGAAUCUUUCAACAAGACGUGAUAAUAUUUGAGGAUCAAAGGAUUUGCUCCCUUUAAUUACUUUAUAAUAGUUUGUUGCUCUUAAUAAUUCUUGUAUUAUGUUCUAGUUAGUUUUUAUAAAAUAUAGUACUUCAAACAUGCUUGUGUUUUGGUAGCGUAUCAAAAAUUAGGUCACAUCAUAUUCAAUCGUUUGUCAGAAAUUAUUGAGCAUGUCUAUCUUGUGUGGACGAAGGGAAUAAUAAAGAG